AUUGAACGCUGGCGGCGUGCCUAAUACAUGCAAGUCGAACGCAGUGGGGACGGGUGAGUAACACGUGGGUAACCUCCCAUCAGAAGGGAUAACACUUGGAAACAGGUGCUAAACCGAUACUGAUGGAUGGACCCGCGGUGCAUUAGCUAGUUGGUGCGGUAACGGCUCACCAAGGCGACGAUGCAUAGCCGAGCUGAGAGGUGGAUCGGCCACACGGGGACUGAGACACGGCCCAGACUCCUACGGGAGGCAGCAGUGGGGAAUAUUCGGCAAUGGGCGAAAGUCUGACGGAGCAACGCCGCGUGAGUGAAGAAGGUUUUCGGAUCGUAAAACUCUGUUGUUAGAGAAGCGGUAUCUAAACAGAAAGCAACGGCUAACUACGUGCCAGCAGCCGCGGUAAUUC
rnacentral:rRNA from 1 species